AACCAAAGUCAGUUCUGUCAUUCUGCUGCACUGGAUAUAAUGCUUGACAGAUGGGCAUUUUGCCAAAAAAAAUCCAUUUGAUAAAUUCUGAAAUUUAAAAAAAAAGAAUAGUGAUAAAAUUUAACACUGAUUUAGAUGACAACUCAUGAGUUCACCUGCCAGUUUGGACAAAGUCAAAUUAUUGAAAAUAUCCACCUGGUGGAUUUGUAUCAUUAGAGGCCUUGUCACUGAAAAAAACUGACAGAUUCUUUUGUCUUUUUGUCAUAUGUCUGUGAUGUAUUUUAUUGCCUGUAGAUUCUUCUCCAGAAUAAACCUAUGGCAACAUCCAUGGGGUGGUAUGCACCACAUUAGAAAAAAAAAAAAUGAGCCUUUCUCAUGUUUUGCAUUGGUUCAGACAUAAAGCUCAUGGCACUGCACACAGACUUGGAAAACCACUUUUUUUUUUCUUUUUUCUUUUUUUUUAAUGUGUUCCAGCUUUGUCUUGAAGAGGAGAUACUCAGAAAAAGGGAAGCACCUUAAGCAAAGCAUGCUUAGCUAAAAAUUAUUUUUGUAUUGAUUUUUUGGACAUCGAGUACUUCUCAAAAAUUGGGAAAGAUUCUGUACAGUUAUUUUCCUGAGCACUAAUAGAAAAGACAAAAACAAUUCCCUUGCCUGCUUUAGGCACAGAAAGUAGCAAGGGGUGGUGAUUCCACCACUUCUCUGGCAGCCUGUUCCAAGCAUUUCUGUCAAGAAAAUAUUCCUGAAGUCCAAGCUGAACCUCCCCUGGCAUGGUUUGAGGCCGUUUCCCCUUGUCCUCUUGUUAUUUACCUGGGAGAAGAGCCUGACCCCUCCUGUCAAGGAACUGUAGAGAGCCACAGGGUUCCCCUGAGCCUCAUUUUCUCCAGGCUAAAGAAAAAUAAAGAACUCCUCUAAUUUUGAUGGAUGGAGAAUAUCUCCCUUCAGCAAAUAUGACUUCAUUUGGGAAAAAAAAAUCCCAUUUUUCUCCCUUCAGCUGCUGCAGUCACUGCUAAGUGACUCAUGACAGACAACACACCUAAGAACAAUUCCUCAUUUUGCUCAACAUAUGUAGUUUUGGUUACUAGGCAUGUCUAGUAACUAUAUCCCACUGAGCCUUGAGCAUCUAUUUUAAAGUAUCAACUGUGAAGUGGUUCUCAAGUGCUCACCUUUUUAUUUUAAGUAAUAACAAGUUGUCAAGCUCCAAGAGACACGAGUACAGCGAAAGCAAACCAACAAAUACACAAAGGCAGCUUUGAGGAGAUGAGCUAAAAUAUACUAGCCGGGGGAAUUUUAAGGUGUGUUUUUCCUGGUGACGAUGAAUUUCUCUCGGAAUAACCAAAACUGAGCGUGAAUAACACAUCGAUAUUUGCGAUGGUCACUGGGAGAAACGCUGUCAUUUGAGUGCCCUCUGCAGGACACUGCGUGGCGUCUCAACACCAGUAUUCCUUGUGUUUCAGCAUCUCUUAAGUAAGAGGGAAAAAAGGAGAGUAUUUUUAAUUAAAAUUCCACCACUCAAGGACUUUAAAAUAAGCCAAACCCACUGCAUUUAUGGAAAAAUGUGUGUAAUUUUAAGCAGGUGUAAAAAACCCGAACCCCUUGUCUUUAUGAAAACGUGUAGCUUUACGCAGGCAUAACUUCUUUCAGCUGAGGUAAGACAAAAUGCUUCCUGGAGAAAUACUGCUAUUGCAAAUUUUCGAAGUGAAAAACAGGUGCAGUGACGCAAUUAGGUGAGGUGUUUGGCUUAAAUGCUUUGGAUUACUGUGAAUUUUGAUUGCAUUUGAUGGAAUCAGAAAGCUCGUCCUAGCCUUGAGCUCAUUGUCUCUCCUGUGUCAGUCUCCUGCAUGGAUCUACAUACAGGAUCACUGUAUGCACUUUUUGUGGGCCUUUGGCAUGUGGAUGUUCUGCCAGCAUCUUUGAUCCCACUUAAAAAAAAGCAGACUGGCUCUGUCAGAACUGCCAAGGAGGUUUUUUUUUCAUCUGUUGAGAAUUUGGUUCCAUUUGUGUAACUCGUUCUGUUACUGGUAAUCAGGUACACAUAAGGCACUCUCA